UUUAGAUAUUUGUAGGUUUCUUCUUCCUCUUUUGAACCUGAAAAAAAUAGAAAAAGGAAAAAAAUGGAGUUUUCUGCAAUAAGCAGGACCCGUGCUCCAUUGUUAAAUCUCAAUCAAAGUGUACUCCGUACGAACUGUGUCCCCUCUUUAAAGAAGCCCUAUUCAUAAUUUUCUAUUCCUUUGUCCCCACAAUGUUGGAGCGAGCAAGCAUGGGGUCAGUCAUAUAUAAUUGUCGCCUUUCAAACCCUAGGAUCAAUAACACCGUUACCUGAUACAAGGCUUGAGCAAGGAGAUUCCUCCACAUCACUCCAGUUAUCAGUGGUUUAGUUCGUCCAACUGGUUUUUUGUUCAUUAGAUCGCUACUGGGUCGCUCAGUUGCCAAAGCUAAGGCCCCCAGAGUAUCCAUUAUGAGAUUGACCCACAGAAGUUGGACUGCUGUCAGAGGGACUUCUCCAGAUGAAGCAGCAGCAACAAAGUUGAUAACAAGGGCAGCAACAUUUACUUGCAGGAGCAUCAUUUGUUCCAUCGCCUGUUACUGCUACAACAUGGCCUUUCUGCUUCAAGCAUUCAACCAUCAAAAGCUUGUCAAGUGGUGAAGAUCUUGCCAUCACUCGUAUUUUUUCGACAGUCUCCAUCCUCUCUUCUUGUGAAUAAUUCCUAAAUGUCGGUCCUUCUAUAACUGCAAUGUUCAAGUCUUCACCUGGUUGGAGUAUUCCACAUUCAAAAGCUAUUGAUUUAGCUGUAAACACAUUGUCCCCAGUAAUCAUUUUGAUGCUAACACCGGCAUCCCUGCAAGAUUCUACAGACUCUUUAACACCAGGCCUACAUGGGUCCUUUAGACCCACCAGACCCAGUAAGGUUAGUUCAGUUUCUUCAAGAGCUUGAUUUUCUGCAUUGCUUUCUUUGUAAGCAAAUGCAAUACAUCGCAAGCUUUUGCUUGCCAUAUAUUCAAUUUUCAACUCAAGUUCUUUUCUU